AAAAAGUGAAAUGAUUAUAGGGUUUGAUGUGAUAUUUUGUUUGGAUUUGUUUUUUUUUGGUUUUGUAAAACAUUUGUCAUGUAGUGAAAAAAAAAUUCCAAAAACCAAGUUCCCAAACACCCCCAAAGUCAAUUCAUGUUAUCUUGCUUAAUUGAGAAUUGCUACCACAUGGAUUUAUUUUCUAAAAUAGAGGAAAUAAUUCAUGCUAAGGGUUUUUAUAAAUCUGAAUUUGUAUCUUUCUUUCAAAGGAUAGAAUAAAUUUAAUAUGAAUUGUACAUUACUUCAAAAUUGGAAAUGGAGACACAUGAUUAUUUAUUUUAUUUGGUUUUAUAGCAAAAUUCUGAAAUGCUACAUUUGGAGAUAUUUGUAAUUGACAACUUACAUUUUGCCAAUUGUAAAAGCCCAUUUUUAAAUAACAAUUUGGGGACGUUCCUCAAUUUUCAACAAUAUGUCAAUUUCCUGAACUAUGACUAAUGUGCCACCUACAUGUUACCAUUAGUCUUUCACCUAGUCAGCAAACUUAGCAUGGCUUCGUUUACUUUUAUUGCAACUUCCAGUACAUGGCUAUGUCGGAUGUGUGUGUGUGGCUAUGGCCACUGUAUUGUUAAGAUAUCCAAGUCGACCAAAAAUCCAAGGUGUCCUUACUUUGCAUGUCCUCUCUCUGGGAUGAGUGCCCAAUUCAUUAAUGGUCAUAACUGCAUUUCAUGCUGAACCAAUUGACUAACACGUGUCAUUUUCACUCGUCAACCCUAUGUCAAUUGGAUUGGUUGGUGCAAAGGACCAAGGAGACAGAGCACAGAUUUUGCCUCAUCCAGUACUGACAUUGUCAUGCAUUUGCGGGAUGAUGUCAUACACAUUCAACAGUCAUUGCGUCUCCUUAAAACAGUUGUUUCUGUGCUAUGUAUUGUGGUUGUCAUUAUGUUGUUGCGUAUGUAAGGAAACUUAAAAUGUUCUUAGGAAACUUAAGAGCGACGGCUAACUUUGUCUUGCUUUAACUGACUAGUUUGGGGGACACAUUAAUGAUUACUUGUAUUUACUAUUUGUCUUCCACUAUUAAAAUUCGUACUUUUAUGUCCAUUUUUAUGUGAUUGUAAUGUUAUGUUAAUUAAUGUGCAAUGGUUAUAUACUGUUCAAUUUAGCAUCCACUUUCUAUGUUUAUUGUGCAAUGGCCAUAAAUUGUUAUUAUGCCAACCAAUUUAAAUUCUUCUGCUAUGGUCUGAUGUUACUGGAUGUAAUAACAACCAAGAUGGUCAUGGUGAUAAUUUUGUCCCGUAAAUUAGUUACCUUGCGUGGUCCAAAUGGCUUUCAUACGUACUUUACCUUGUACCCAAGCGAAAAACAAAGGCAUAUCUCUGGAGAAGUCAAGCAGUGUGGAAGAGACACAAAAGCAGUUUAACCACAAGGCUUCCUAGGACAGUGACUCUAUCCGAAUUUUCCUGCAGCUGAUCGCCAAUGAAAUUACAAAAGGAAAUUGGUCUUUCUUAGCCCUAAGCCAAUCUAGGUACAGGUCGUUGGCGAGGAAAUUUGACAAAAAAACUGGAAGACAACAUGGCCUUAAGCAGUUGAAGAAUAAAUACAUGAGUCUGAAAAAAGAAUAGAAUGCUUGGAGAAAGUUGAUGGAUUCUAGCCGAGGAGUGUCAGGAAUUGGCUUUGACAGCGAGACUGGUAUAUUCCAAGCGUCUAAUGAGUAGUGGGAUAAGAUGGAAUCGACAAACAAGGCCUGCACGAAGUUUAGGAAAAAAACACUAGAACAUCGCGAGUUGAUGGAGACGGUCUUUACAAGGGCAUCAGCUACUGGUAAGCACCAUUGGACCUCGGGAGAGAAAGUUGAUGAACCUGCCGACGUCUCAGCCGAUUCUGUGGACAGUCUCGGUGCCUAGCCAUUUGUUGAUUCGAUACCUGCACACGCACAGGACGUUGAUUCAGAUUCUUCACUCGAACCUGUGCCGACUGUUAACGACAAAAGAAAACGGACUCUGUCAACAAGUUGUGGCAAGUCGAAGAAGGCCACAAGUGAAGCGUCAGUUAUUGUGGAAAGCAUGAAUAAUCUGACAACCGUGGUGCGUACUCAGAAUCAGCAAGUUACGGUCAGGCGCCUCACAGGUAACGAAUCACUGUAUACAAUUUUGGAGUGCAUGCACUGGCUGAGGAACAUUCCUGCCCUUCUCGAUACGUCGCUAUUUCAUUUUGCCUCGACAUUGAUGGAUAAGGUAGAUUAUCGGGAGGUGAUGAUGUGCCAGGCUAAUAACGACCACAUUAUCGGCUGGCUCACACAGAAGUAGCUGCAGUGUAGUGCGAGGGCACCGUUUGCGAACUUGUUCGGGGCUCACUGAUUUGAUAUAGUGGUGUCAUGCUAAAGAUGCGUUCCCAUUAUCUAGCUUUCAAAAACUUUUACUUAUGCUUAUGUUGGACUUGUAAUAAACAGGAUGGUUGUGUGUGUUGUUUUUAUUUUUUUAUUUAUUUUUUAAUUUUUUGCCCUAGUUUGAUGAAACAAUAUUUGCAGGUUAUUUUCUGGUUUUCGACGAUUACAGUUUCGUUUAUGUGUUUUUGUGCGGAUGGAACAUGAUGGUUGUGUUUUUAUUUAUUAUGGGAAUUACAUCCGCAACGGCGGGAUGUUGUGUUUUA